CCCGAGGCUGGGAGGAAGGGGUCUGAACCCGGGGGCGCGCAAUCUGGGGUCCCUCCCGGGUGGAAGAUAUCGGCAUGUACCCGGAGUCGCGAGAUCGGGGAUGCCGCCCAGGGUGGAUAGCGGCCCGCACCCGGGGGCCAUUCCGGGUCCUGCCGGGGUGGAAGUUAGGGGCCCGGGGCGGGAGCCCGGCGCGCACUGAAGACUCGGCGCCGACUCCGAGCUGAGGCCGCAUAGAGACGAGCCGAUUGGCGUAGCUGGGGACGUGGAGCGCGCGCUCCGUGACCGGCGCCACCUGUGGGCCGGGGGAGGGCGAGGGUGGCGACGCCCAGAGGACCGGGCGCAACAGAACUGUGCCAGGAAGUCUUCGUGCCUGGCUCACAUUUGCACCCCGAACAAAGAUGGCCUGCAAUUGGUGAAAGCAUUGAGGUUCCGAAAACUCCAAACUGCAUUGGAAACAUCUGCGUCAAACUGGGCGUGGUGUCACACUCCUCUAACCCCAGCUUCCUGGGAGGCUGAGGCAGAGGAAACUCAAGUUCGAAACCAACCUGUGCAAUUUAGGGACUUAGCAAGACCGAAAAUAAAAAGGAGCUGGGGAGGUAACAGAGUGUGAAGGCCCCAGUUGCAACACUCAGCACCAAAAGAUGGGGAGAGAAAGAAAAUCAGUAGUUUUUUGCAUACUUUGCAAAAAUUGUUUGCGUUGCUGUUCAUGUGGCUGGACACCACUGAGCACCUGUGUCCACCGACCAGGCCCUUUGGCAGGUGACACUCCAGGGAGCUGAUGACCAGGUCAAGCUCAGAGCUCUGGGCCAAGAGUCAGGGCCCCACAAGGCUGGGUGCACCUGGGAUCUGCAUUCUGGACUGGUGUCCUGUGUCUCAUUCAACCACCUGAACAGAGUCCAAACCCACGGGCAGCCGUCACCGUCGAGGGUACUGCCCCACGUAACUUGCAAGCCUCAGGUCUUCAGAGUGCCUCUAGUUACAAUGAAGUAAGGUUUUUCUUUUUAAAUGGAAACUCAGGAGUGUGCCUGUCAGAAUCAACUGCAAGGAUAUCUUCUUCUCCAGCCCCAAACCUGGGGUGGAACUCGACAGUGCUCUACCCCUAAACUAUGGCCUGGGCCUUUUUAAGUUACCCAGGUGGGACUCGAACUCGCGAUUCUCUGGCCUCAACCUCUGUGAGUGCCCCUGGAUUACAGAUAUGAGCCACCUCCUGGCUUCCAAAUGUGUAUGUCUGUAAAUUGCUUGCGUGGGUACAGAUUAAGUGGCACAGAACUGAAAACGCAGAUGAGUGUGUGUGAAACUGAGUAAACUUGUCGGGUCGUAUCAGUGCUCAUAUCCACCUUGCGGCUUUGUUCUGUAGUUUUAUAAAAUGUCACCAUUGAGAGAAAGGUGCAGUGUACAUAGGA